CAGAAGUCAGGUCGGAUUAAGCCAUAGUACGGAAAAAACUAUGCUACCUGUGAGCCCCGUCCAAGGACGUAAAAAGAAGUCAGGCCACUACAAGUGCCAUAGCUUGAGUAAACUAUGCAGCCUGUAGCUCCACCUGAGGUGGAGCUACAGGCCUGGGAGGCCACAAACCAUGGAAGCUGUACGCAUGGCGUAGUGGACUAGCGGUUAGAGGAGACCCCUCCCUUGCAAAUCGCAGCAACAAUGGGGGCCCAAGGUGAGAUGAAGCUGUAGUCUCACUGAAAGGACUAGAGGUUAGAGGAGAC
rnacentral:lncRNA from 1 species